rnacentral:rRNA from 1 species
UACGUAGGGGGCGAGCGUUGUCCGAAGUUACUGGGCGUAAAGCGCGUGUAGGCGGACCUCUAAGUGAGGGGUGAAAGGUUCGGGCUCAACCCGAACACUGCCUCUCAUACUGGGGGUCUUGAGUGCGGGAGAGGCGAGUGGAAUGGUCGGUGUAGCGGUGAAAUGCGUAGAUAUCGAUCGGAACACCCAUGGCGAAGGCAGCUCGCUGGGCCUGCAACUGACGCUGAGACGCGAAAAGCGUGGGGAGCAAACAGG